rnacentral:lncRNA from 10 species
UUUCCCUUUUAUGAAAAUCCUGGAAAUUCCCUCUCCAGCCUUACAUUCUGAAAGCCAUACUUCUAAGUUACAUAUCUUCCCACUUCUUGAUUCUUUCUUUUGGGUAAAAUAAUUCUUCAUUAACUUUUUCUGGUUAAUGGGUGCAUGGAAAGAAACUUUAAGACAUUUCACAUAUUACUAUUGAGUGAUUGUUCCGCUUUGUACGUUUCAUGAAGAAAGAAGCUCUGCUUGUCUCAUUUAUUGCUGCAUCUUCCUUGCAGGACUGGUAUGCAUGGCCACGCAUUGUUAAACAUUCCACACUCACAAUGAGGUUGGUGUGACAGCUGGGGACCAGGCGGAGAUCCGUACUGUGGUGGCACUCAUGCACCUGUUGUUGGUAGUGAACUUCUGGCUGCCAUUCAGUCAGCAGCUGUUAACUACUAAGGUGCCAGGACAAAAUGAAAUGCAACCAAGAAGUCAUGCCCCAUCACAAAGUGCAAUUUGAGGAAAACAAGAAGGCAGAUGUUUUGCCAUUGAGCCAGAAUUAAGGUUGUCAAUUCCAAGGACAAGAUUUGGCAGCAUUCCUGCAACACAAAAAUGUUAUCACUAGGAGUCACUGGCAUGUCAUAGAUCUGGGUUUCCUCCAAGGAGCAUGGCAAGUGCCCUGAGUUGUACUUCUUUCACACCCAUGGAAAAAAGAGCCCAUUAAGGAUAAAUGCAUCAUCUAUGAUCAUAAUUGAAAGUGGUACAGCAACUACUGCAGCCUGGAUUCUCCACCUGUGCCUACUUUUUAUGCGUAACAUUUAACUUUUCUUAUUCACAAAAAUGGCAUAGUUGGAUAUCUUUAUUGCAUACUUUUUGAAAGAAUUUUUGAUGUUAAUUAAGAAUUUCUCUCAGAUCACAAUACAUACCAUCAGAACUGCAUAUUUUUAUUAUGCCCUAAAUAUUUCCUCCUCACCCCU